UACGGAGGGUGCAAGCGUUAUCCGGAUUCACUGGGUUUAAAGCGUGCGUAGGCGGUUCGUUAAGUCAGCUGUGAAAGCCCCGGGCUCAACCUGGGAACUGCGGUUGAAACUGGCGAACUAGAAUCUGGCAGAGGGGGGUGGAAUUCCACGUGUAGCAGUGAAAUGCGUAGAGAUGUGGAGGAACACCGAUGGCGAAGGCAGCCCCCUGGGCUGAGAUUGACGCUCAGGCACGAAAGCGUGGGGAGCAAACAGG
rnacentral:rRNA from 1 species